rfam:Dipodomys ordii contig_46304, whole genome shotgun sequence.
GGUGGCUCACUGGUAGAGUGCUUGCCUUGCAUGCAUGAAGCCCUGGGUUUGAUUCCUCAGCACCA